rnacentral:rRNA from 1 species
UACGUAGGGUGCAAGCGUUGUCCGGAAUCAUUGGGCGUAAAGCGCGUGUAGGCGGUCCGGUAAGUCCGCUGUGAAAGUCGGGGGCUUAACCCUCGGAUGCCGGUGGAUACUGUCGGGCUUGAGUACGGAAGAGGCGAGUGGAAUUCCUGGUGUAGCGGUGAAAUGCGCAGAUAUCAGGAGGAACACCAAUUGCGAAGGCAGCUCGCUGGGACGUUACUGACGCUGAGGAGCGAAAGCCAGGGGAGCAAACGGG